GUCCACGCCAUAAACGAUGGGUGCUAGGUGUCGCGGGCUUUGACCCCUGCGGUGCCGCAGCUAACGCAUUAAGCACCCCGCCUGGGAAGUACGGCCGCAAGGCUAAAACUCAAAGGAAUUGACGGGGGCCCGCACAAGCGGUGGAGCAUGUGGUUUAAUUCGACGCAACGCGAAGAACCUUACCUGGGCUAGAAAACACAAGAACCUGGUUGAAAAGUCGGGGUGCUCUUCGGAGAACUUGUGGUUAGGUGCUGCAUGGCUGUCGU
rnacentral:rRNA from 1 species